GACGAACGCUGGCGGCGUGCCUAAUACAUGCAAGUUGAGCGCUGAAGGUUGGUACUUGUACCAACUGGAUGAGCAGCGAACGGGUGAGUAACGCGUGGGGAAUCUGCCUUUGAGCGGGGGACAACAUUUGGAAACGAAUGCUAAUACCGCAUAAAAACUUUAAACACAAGUUUUAAGUUUGAAAGAUGCAAUUGCAUCACUCAAAGAUGAUCCCGCGUUGUAUUAGCUAGUUGGUGAGGUAAAGGCUCACCAAGGCGAUGAUACAUAGCCGACCUGAGAGGGGGGUCGGCCACAUUGGGACUGAGACACGGCCCAAACUCCUACGGGAGGCAGCAGUAGGGAAACUUCGGCAAUGGACGAAAGUCUGACCGAGCAACGCCGGGGGGGGGAAGAAGGGUCUCGGAUCGUAAAACUCGGUUGGUAGAGAAGAACGUUGGUGAGAGUGGAAAGCUCAUCAAGUGACGGUACCUACCCAGAAAGGGACGGCUAACUACGUG
rnacentral:rRNA from 1 species